GAUGAAGAACGUAGCGAAAUGCGAUAAGUAGUGUGAAUUGCAGAAUUCAGUGAAUCAUCGAAUCUUUGAACGCACAUUGCGCCCUUUGGUAUUUCUUAGGGCAUGCCUGUUCGAGCGUCAUUUAAACCUUCAAGCUAAGCUUGGUGUUGGGUGACUGUCCGCUUCACUGCGGACUCGCCUCAAAAUUAUUGGCGGCCGGUACAUUGGCUUCGAGCGCAGCAGAAACGCGAACUCGGGCCCGUCGUAUUGGCUCCCAGAAGCUAUCUUCACAAUUUUGACCUCGGAUCAGGUAGGGAUACCCGCUGAACUUAAGCAUAUCAAUAAGCGGAGGA
rnacentral:misc_RNA from 1 species